rnacentral:rRNA from 1 species
AUACGGAGGGUGCAAACGUUGUUCGGAAUUAUUGGGCGUAAAGAGCAUGUAGGCGGUUGUUUAAGUCUGAUGUGAAAGCCCUGGGCUCAACCCAGGAAGUGCAUUGGAUACUGGACAACUUGAGUACGGGAGAGGAAAGUGGAAUUUCGAGUGUAGGGGUGAAAUCCGUAGAUAUUCGAAGGAACACCAGUGGCGAAGGCGGCUUCCUGGACCGAUACUGACGCUGAGAUGCGAAAGCGUGGGGAGCAAACAGGAUUAGAUACCCUGGUAGUCCACGCCGUAAACGAUGGGUACUAGGUGUUGCGGGUAUUGACCCCUGCAGUGCCAAAGCUAACGCAUUAAGUACCCCGCCUGGGGAGUACGGCCGCAAGGCUAAA